GACGAGCGCUGGCGGCGUGCUUAACACAUGCAAGUCGAACGCUGAAGCUCAGCUUUUGUUGGGUGGAUGAGUGGCGAACGGGUGAGUAACACGUGAGUAACCUGCCUCCUUCUUUGGGAUAACGCCCGGAAACGGGUGCUAAUACUGGAUAUUCACUGGUCUUCGCAUGGGGGUUGGUGGAAAGGGUUUUUCUGGUGGGGGAUGGGCUCGCGGCCUAUCAGCUUGUUGGUGGGGUGAUGGCCUACCAAGGCUUUGACGGGUGGCCGGCCUGAGAGGGUGACCGGUCACAUUGGGACUGAGAUACGGCCCAGACUCCUACGGGAGGCAGCAGUGGGGAAUAUUGCACAAUGGGCGCAAGCCUGAUGCAGCGACGCCGCGUGAGGGAUGGAGGCCUUCGGGUUGUGAACCUCUUUCGCUCAUGGUCAAGCCGCAACAAUGGUUGUGGUGAGGGUAGUGGGUAAAGAAGCGCCGGCUAACUACGUG
rnacentral:rRNA from 1 species